AUCAUGAUUGAAUCGAAUGAAAUAUAUAUAUAUAUAUAUACGUAUUGAUAUUGAAUUUAUUGAUAGUAAUUGUUGAAUUUUGAAUAAUAUGUUUAGUAAAUAAAAAUAAGGAGAAUAUCGAUAUUUAAUUGAAUGAAUUAAAAAUAUGAAUUGAAUAAAAGUGAAUUAAAUUAUGAAUAAGUGUGAAUACGUGAAUUGAGUAUUGACUGAAAAGUGGUUUGAUUCGAAUCGAGGUAUGAUUUGUGAAAUAUGUAUUGGUGCUGAAUUGUAUAUUGAUUUGAAAGUGGGAAGUGAAUUUGAAAUAGAAAAAUAUAUUGAAUCAAAUGGUGAUUAAAUUGUAUAAUGAUUUGAAUUGAAAGUAUGAGAAAGUGAUUGAAUUGAAAUGUGAUUCGGAAACCCUAUUAACUAGUCGGGCUGAGUCGGAUAUAGUUGACAUGCCAUAGGAUUGGAAGUGUUCAGGGAUACUUCGACCUUGAGUCGAUGAGACACUGGGUGUCAUACUGUUACUUCGAAUAGAUUCGAUGAGGUACUGGGUACCAACUUGCUUCGGCUUUGCCGAUGAGACACUGGGUGUCAACUAUUGCUUCGAACUAUCCGAUGAGGCACUGGGUGCCAUUCUGGUGUGUUUGGUUGGAUCCGUGUAUCCGCCAAGGUCCGAGUCAAGUUAAUAGGGGUAAAUGAAUAAUUUUGAUAAUAUAAAUUUUAUUAAAUGAUCUUGAGUAUGAAUCGAAAUGAGAUAUUAAAUUGAGAUAUGGAAAUGAAAUGUAUGAACCAAGGGUUCAAGAAAUAGUUAGCGAUUUAGUUCAUGAAAUGAUUUUGGUAGUAUGAGAUGUAAAAAUAUAAGUAAAGAAAAGCAAAUUGAAAUAGCUAUUGCUGAGAAAUGAGAAGUGAAAAUAAAAGUGGAAUUAUAUGUGAAUUUAAUUAAAUACAAGAUUGAAAUAUUGCUUAUUGUUAUUAAUGAUCUAGUUGAUUUAAAGUAUGAGACAAUUAACGAAUAAUUGUAGACAUAAACUAACUGUAUAUAAUUUAUUGGUUAAUGUUAUUAAUUUGAAUUAUGGUAAUACCACUGAGUAUUCCUAUACUCAGCGUACGGUUGUUUCCGUGCGCAGGUUAGUAGAAAACCAGUGUUCGGUCCAACAUCCAGAGUAAUCCCGGCCUCAGAUAAAUUUUAGUGAUGUGCCUUUCUUUUGAUAUUGUGGCAUGUAUCUAAUAUCUAGGUAAUGUAUUGAUUAAAGUAUGCUAUGUAUGUCAUUUAUUUGUGAAUUAGUGAUAAGUUAUCCGAUAUGUCCGGUAAUGCUCCGUAACUCGAUUCCGGCGACGGAUUUGGGUUGGGAGUGUUACAUUUAGUGGUAUCAGAGCUUUGCAGGUUUAGCCGAUUCUCGGACUAAAUCGAGCUCGAAAUUGAGUCUAGAGGUACAUGCCAUAAUUGAGUCGAAUUGAGUCGGGAUUUGGAUGCUGAUAUAUUUGCUUAUGUUUUAGAGUUGAAAAUGUCGAAUGAAUAUGAUGAUGAAUAUUACGUUAUAUGUUUCAUUGUAAAAUAAAUUAUAGUGCUAUACGAACUGUUGAAUUGAUAACUAAAUUAUAAAAUAUACAAAAGUAAUAUAUGAAGUAGAUGAUAAGGAUUAUUAAGGAAUUAUGGAUGAAUAGUAAAUUUUGAAAUAUAUUACAUGUGCUAAAGAUAGAGAAGAUAUAAAUGCACGAAUUAUUGGUACAAGAAUUAAAUUGUAAAGCAUGUAAAAGUAUUGUGUGAAAAGUAUAAAAGUGAUAUGCAUGCAUGAAUGAAAUAAUUUGCCCAAGUAGACGAGGCUAGAACUAUUAGGAUAUUAAGGGAGUUUAGCGUGCUCUCUGAUUAUUAGCACAUUGGUGCUCUCUGAUUAUUAGCACAUCAGUGCUCUCUGUUUAGCACAUCUGUGCUCUCUGAUAUUUAGCACGUCAGUGCUCUCUGAAUAUUAGCACGCUCUCUGAUCACUAGCACGUUAGUGCUCUCCGUUUAGCACAUUUGUGCUCUCUGUAUAGCACUUUAGUGCUCUCUGUUUAAUAGUGCAUAAUAAUGCACCUCUGUAUCAGUCCCGUAUAUCCUAAGUGUUCUAUUUCGUCUACUAGGUCUCUGCUAAAGAAAAAAAAUUGUUACAAGAUAAAAGAUUAUCUUUGAUUCAAUAGUGAAUGAUUAUAAAGGAAAAUAAGUUACAAAGCUGUGAAUAAAUAAGCAUGUAUUUGUAAUAAAAUAAUUUAAAGUUUUGAAUAAGUAAAUGUUAUUUAGUUUUGUAUGGUGAUUUAAAAUAGUAAUCCUUAUAGAUAAGGAUGAAAAUAUACAUUUAUACAUUCAAAAAAGUAACCUUGAUAAAUAAGAAAUGUUUUACUAAUAGACAAAAAUGUCUCCAAUUGAUCUAGUUCCGACAGUGAUGAAAGUGAUAUUUGAGUAUUUGAUAGAGAAAGGGGAGUUGCCUAUAUGAGUAAAGAUUUAUAAGGUACGAAAUGAAUGUUUGUAAUGAAUAUAUUGACGAUAAAAGUCAUGUUAUGUGUGUGUAUAUAUAUAUAUAUAUAUAAGUAUAUAUAUGAGAGUCAAAUUUUGAGGCUUUACGACCUUCACCCCCUCACCUAAACAAUGGAAUUUACAAGAAUUAUAUUCAUUAAGUUUACAAGUGUUAAAUUAAAGAGUUCAAUAAUUGAAGGAAAAAUAAUGCAGUCAGAGUUGUGGAUGGGAUAGCAAGUAAAGAAGGUUCUAGAAAAGCUAUCAGAUUUUUAAAUGAUUAUUUGGGAUUCGCAAUGUCGCUAUUAAGGAAGAAGUUAUUCACAAGUAAUCGACUUAUUCAGGUAUAAAAAAAAUUUAAAGAGCAGGUUAAUCGAAAUUUCUUCUGAAUUGAUUUCUUUAAUGAUUGGGAUAAUGUAAGAUUAUUGAUGACUUUAGUAGUCAGUGGGAUAGUGAUGAAAUUGCAAAGAUAUCUGAAUGCAGCUGUUAUAGUCGUGUAUUUUACAACGAUCUCUUCUGGGUAUUCUAUAUGGGUAUUCUAUAUGUUCUUUUAUCCUCAGAGGUAUAUAUGCAACUAUUUAUUUUCAAAUAUAAUUUUUAUCAUAUAGCAAGGUUGGCUAAUCAUAAUGUUAGAUGGAAUUAUUAUUAGUCUGGUUGAUUCAUGAUCGAGAUUCCUCUAUCUUUCUUUGGUUUUCUAAUCUACUAUGUUCGAUAGAAGAUUUGAUGAUAAGACUCAUAUAAAGCUAUUUUCUAUUUCUACUGGUUGAAGCUCCGAAUUACAUAUAUGGAAUCUAUAUUGUCUUUAUCACAACUAUUUCUAGUGCGUACAAGCGAUAUUCUUCUUUUGGAUUUUCUCUGGGAUAUCAUCGAUCUCUUUAUCAUUCAAUGUGGUUUUUCUUCUCGGAAAUUCAGUAUAGCUUCACAUCUUGGAUUUUAUUAUCUCGGUUUUCUUAUUAUUCUUGUGGUCUAAUCUUAUUUAUUAACCAUGGUUCAUCCAUCAAAGAUAUUCAUUGGACGGAGGUAAUUAUAUUUAUUACUGUUAUAAAUCUUGGAUCGAUCAUGGAACUCGGUGAUAUGGAUCUCAGAUUAUAGAAGUUGUAUCACUGCACUGGUUGUUAUUGGAACUACUUUCGAAUUUCUUCAUCUAUUUUGAAGUGCACUAUUGAUGUUGAGGUAUUGUUCUAUCUAUAUGGUUGGAACGUCGGUUCUAUUAUAGCUUUAUAGUUUUUAAUCUAUCUGAUGGUUGUGGCUUCGGUAUAGUUCAAAGCUUCGAUGUUAAUGAUUGAAAUAGUUUUAUUAUAUAUAUAAUUCCUUUCUAGAUUUUGUGAAAGGGUUGACAUCGGCAGAAGUGUAGAUGGAGGAAGAUUGAGCUCAAACUUGUAUUUGGUUUUCACUUCUCAGGUAAUUUUGAAUUAUGUCAACAAGUCAAUAAUGAAAUGUCAAAAUUCGUUUGAGUUAAAUGCUAUUUGUGGUAAUUUUUGGUUGGUGUUUCGAGAGGAUUAUGAGAUAUGGUAUAUCUGGAUUGUUUUGACAACAAGAAGAAUAGAUUAUUCUGAAAUGUUAUUAUCUGAUAGAUAAAAUCGACUCAGUUGUUCUAAUCAAAGUGGGUUAUUCAGUGAAAAGUUAAUUGAGUUAUAAUCAGUGAUGGAAUCAGUACAUUUUGGGUCUCCACAAUGGGUUUAAAUUAUCUGUUUUCUUCUCGCUGGAUGGGUUUGAAAGGUAUUAAAUAAGAUAAUUCGGGUUUUUUCAGUUAUGUUCGACAGACAAUUACUGGAAAUUUCUCGGUAGUUAUACUACUAGUGAAAAAAGUGAUGGCAAGAGAACAUUAGAGCUACUCAGUUAAGUUCAGGCAUAGUAUCAAUUUCUAAAAUGAAUUUUGAUAUGAGUUCGGAAGUGAUAUGAGUUAUGAUUAAUUUUUAUGGACUUCGAUUGAAAGGGGUGAAGAAAGAUUUGACUUAAUAGCUUGUAUCAGAUGAGAAAUUUCGAGGACGAAAUUUUUUAAGGGGGGAAGAGUUGUAACAGCCCAAUUUUCAGUAGUGUCAGAACAGUGAUUUGAGAUCACUAAAUUCGAUGAAAAAGUUAGAAAUAUUUUUGAAUCAGUGAAUUUUGUGAUUUAAAAGAAAUUAUUAGGUAAAUUGGGUCAAAAACGAGGUAUCGAGACCUCGAUAUCAUAAACUGAGCCGUAAAUAUUUUUAUAAAUAUUUACGGAGUGUUGAUAGGGUAGUAUUAAAGUUUCGUUAAGAAAUUUUAACGUUUCGAUGGUUAAUUGAUUAAAAAGGAUUGAAUUUAAAAAAAAAAGAAAAAAAAGAAAUGUAUUCUCGGGACUUCAUUCCGGUAAAUUAGAAUUGUAAAUAUUUAUUAUAAAUAUUUACCAAGCUAGUUGUGUAGUUAAUCAAGUUUUGAUUAAGUGAAUUUGUCUAAAUUGUGGUUAAUUAUGAAAAAGGAUUAAAUUGCAAUAGAGAUAAAAGUUUAAUUAUAGAUUAAAGAAAAGUUAAAAGGACCAAAUAGGCAAUUAUGCCAAUUAUCAAAGUUGAGGCGGCAUAAGUGUAAAAAUCUGAGAUUUUUAUGUGUUAAAAAAAUAUUAUUAUAUUAUUAUAUGUAUAUAACAAAGAAAGGAUAGAAAAAGAGAAUAGAAACAGAGAAAGAAACAGAGAGCAAAACGGGCAGAGAAGGAAGGAAGGAAAGAAAGAAAAAGAAAAAGGGAAAUUUAAGGUUUCAAGGUUCCAAGCUCAAAUGGUAAGUUAAAUUAGUCCUUUUCUUAUAAUUUUUGAGUUUUUGGAAUCCUAGAGCAAAAUACUACUUGAUUUAAGUGGAAAUUUUGGAAGUUAGUAGAUUAUUAGAUGUUGUUCAUGUUGAAUUAAUUGAUGAAUUAGAGGUUAAAAUGAUUGAAUUUUUAAGUUAAAAGUUAGUAAAAGGUUGAUUUGUAAAAUAAAACAUAAGUUUUGAAUAGUAGGGACUAAAUUGAGAGAAUCCCGAAAUUAGGGAUUUAUGGUGAAAUUGAAGAGCUAAAUUGAGUUUAUGGUAAGAAUUAAGAGAGAAUAUAGAGUUAGAUUGGGAAAAUAAAAUUAUUAUUGAUAAUGGAUGAAAUUAGAAUUUGGGUAAAGUUUAGGUAUAAAAAGAAAUAUUUUAAUGAAAUUGUGUAUUAAUGAUUUUUAAUUGUUUAAUUACGUAGCUAAUGUCGUGUACGAGUCAUUGUCCGAGAAAGGAAAGGAGAAAGUGGACAAGGAGUGACUCGAGAGAAAUUCCGGUUAGUAUUACCAUAAUUCGAAUUUAAUUAUUAAUUGUUAAAAUUUAAAUUAAUAUACAUGAUAAGAAAAUUGAGGUGAGUAUCAUGAUUGAAUCGAAUGAAAUAUAUAUAUAUAUAUAUAUAUACGUAUUGAUAUUGAAUUUAUUGAUAGUAAUUGUUGAAUUUUGAAUAAUAUGUUUAGUAAAUAAAAAUAAGGAGAAUAUCGAUAUUUAAUUGAAUGAAUUAAAAAUAUGAAUUGAAUAAAAGUGAAUUAAAUUAUGAAUAAGUGUGAAUACGUGAAUUGAGUAUUGACUGAAAAGUGGUUUGAUUCGAAUCGAGGUAUGAUUUGUGAAAUAUGUAUUGGUGCUGAAUUGUAUAUUGAUUUGAAAGUGGGAAGUGAAUUUGAAAUAGAAAAAUAUAUUGAAUCAAAUGGUGAUUAAAUUGUAUAAUGAUUUGAAUUGAAAGUAUGAGAAAGUGAUUGAAUUGAAAUGUGAUUCGGAAACCCUAUUAACUAGUCGGGCUGAGUCGGAUAUAGUUGGCAUGCCAUAGGAUUGGAAGUGUUCAGGGAUACUUCGACCUUGAGUCGAUGAGACACUGGGUGUCAUACUGUUACUUCGAAUAGAUUCGAUGAGGUACUGGGUACCAACUUGCUUCGGCUUUGCCGAUGAGACACUGGGUGUCAACUAUUGCUUCGAACUAUCCGAUGAGGC
rnacentral:lncRNA from 1 species